UACGUAGGGGGCAAGCGUUGUCCGGAUUUAUUGGGCGUAAAGCGCGUGUAGGCGGCCAGGUAGGUCCGCUGUGAAAACCCGAGGCUCAACCUCGGGACGUCGGCGGAAACCAUCUGGCUAGAGUCCGGAAGAGGAGAGUGGAAUUCCUGGUGUAGCGGUGAAAUACGUAGAGAUUGGGAAGAACACCAGUGGCGAAGGCGGCUAUCUGGACGGUUUCUGACACUAAGACUCGAAAGCGUGGGGAGCAAACAGG
rnacentral:rRNA from 1 species